rnacentral:rRNA from 1 species
GGCGGACGGGUGAGUAACACGUAAGGAACUUGCCUCUUGGACUGGGACAACUGUUGGAAACGACAGCUAAUACCGGAUAUUAUGAGAUUCUCGCAUGAGAAACUUAUGAAAGCUAUAUGCGCCAAGAGAGAGCCUUGCGUUCCAUUAGCUAGUUGGUGGGGUAACGGCCCACCAAGGCGACGAUGGAUAGCCGGCCUGAGAGGGUGAACGGCCACAAGGGGACUGAGACACGGCCCUUACUCCUACGGGAGGCAGCAGUGGGGAAUAUUGGACAAUGGGCCACAAGCCUGAUCCAGCAAUUCUGUGUGCACGAUGAAGGUCUUCGGAUUGUAAAGUGCUUUCAGUUGGGAAGAAGAAAGUGACGGUACCAACAGAAGAAGCGACGGCUAAAUACGUGCCAGCAGCCGCGGUAAUACGUAUGUCGCAAGCGUUAUCCGGAUUUAUUGGGCGUAAAGCGCGUCUAGGCGGAAAAAUAAGUCUGAUGUUAAAAUGCGGGGCUCAACUCCGUAUUGCGUUGGAAACUGUUUUUCUAGAGUACUGGAGAGGUGGGCGGAACUACAAGUGUAGAGGUGAAAUUCGUAGAUAUUUG